AACGCACAUUGCGCCCUGUGGUAUUCCGCAGGGCAUGCCUGUUCGAGCGUCAGUACAACACUCAAGCCCUGCUUGGUAUUGAGCCCCGCCGGUCACACGGUGGGGCCCUAAAACUAGUGGCGGUGCCAUUGGGCUCUCAGCGUAGUAAUACUUCCCGCUGUAGGGUCCCGGUGGACGCUGGCCAGCAACCCCAUACUUCUAAGUUUGACCUCGGAUCAGGUAGGGAUACCCGCUGAACUUAA
rnacentral:misc_RNA from 1 species